AAGGUAUUAGAAAAGCUAUUUCAUAACUUUGUCAAAGUUAAAUCACAGGUUCAAGCCCCGUAUAUCUUA
rfam:Nomascus siki mitochondrial DNA, complete genome.